CAUAUGUGAACACCGGCAGGUGCCCCCGCUUUUGCGGGGGAGAAUAGGGAAUCAGGUGCGAAUCCUGAGCGGUCCCGCCACUGUGAAUGGGGAGCGGCCACCGGGAUGAUGCCACUGGCAGGGCACCCGCUGCCGGGUGCCGCCGGGAAGGCGGGUGGCCGCGAGGAUCCUGAGCCAGGAGACCUGCCUGCCGGUUUUGCCACCG
rnacentral:ncRNA from 2 species